rnacentral:tRNA from 1 species
GGGGAUGUAGUGGAGUGGUAGAGCGUUCGCUUCGCAUGCGAGAGGGCUCGGAUUCGAUCCCCGGCAUUUCCA